AUGCAUCUUUUGAUCCCUUUUUGUCAUUUUCCAUUGGGUCCUAGAGUGCACCGAGACACCAGGCGAAGCAACUUUAGAAUACUUUGUAACUAAAACUGAUUUUGACAAUUUUUCUGAGAUGUUCCCCUGCAUGUUGUUUCUGAAUGAACUGCACGUUAUAGACGUUUCAUCCGACUUUGGAGCAAAAACUGGCUUCGUUACCUUAUUUGGUGUCUUCCACUUUUUUCUGGAGAGAGUAUGCGCUGAAGGAGACUGUCUACGCGAAUGCUUUAUCGCGACCUUUUUCUUUUUCCUUCCCUUAACGCUUCUUAGUGAAACAGACGACAUAUUUGAAGUUCCAGAGGAAUUUAAGUUCAGAACUGGCUCGAACACCGCAUUUUCAGUGUUUAUCGACUGUGUUGGAGUGGCUUCUGAUCUUAAGGAAACUAUGCAUGAAUCACAAAGUUGUUCAUCAUUUCCAGCUAGUGUUGCAACAAAAGACCCCUUGCAAUCCCGACAAAAAAGACUUUUCUUCACAGGAACUGGACCGAUGACACUCUGAAUUGUUUCUUCUAAUGUUUUCAAGGAACCUUUUCUACACUCUUUGACCACGUCGAGGAGGCUCUUGCCAUUUUCUAGGCAGAUAUACUCUGACGCACGUCUAUAUGAAUUACAAGCAUGGAUCUCAAAUUUGCUAGGAGGCACAACUGUAGCUCCCUUGCAUAGUUCACAAGAACAAAGAAUUCCAGUAUCUUUAAUUGUUCCUCGGAGUGGAAUUCCCUUCUUCCCACCGUUGUAGAAAACAGGAUAGCCUUCCAGUAAACCAGUCUCAAACAGCUCCUUCACCGUUUCAGGUAUUACCGUAAUUGAAAUCUUCUUCGACAUUUUCAUUUCUAGUUUCUUCGUAGGUGUACCAGAGAUAACUACACCACUUCCCUCAUCAACUUCACCUCCAGAGUUCCCAUUCGUAAUCUCCAACAGCUCCCUCUUCCUCCCCAAAGCGGACCGUGUUAACCGCUUACUCCUCGUCUCUUCUUUCACUUCAACCUCCACAACAUCACCGUUAUUCGCUGAAAUUCCUAAA
rnacentral:misc_RNA from 1 species